rnacentral:tRNA from 2 species
GCGGGUAUCGUAUAACGGUUAUUAUAAUAGCUUCCCAAGCUAUGGAUACGGGUCCGACUCCCGUUACCCGCU